AGACGAGUGGCGAACUGGUGAGUAACACGUGGGUAACCUGCCCUUGAAGUAGGGGAUAACACUUGGAAACAGGUGCUAAUACCGUAUAACAACCAAAACCACCUGGUUUUGGUUUAAAAGAUGGCUUCGGCUAUCACUUUAGGAUGGACCCGCGGCGUAUUAGCUUGUUGGUAAGGUAACGGCCUACCAAGGCAAUGAUACGUAGCCGACCUGAGAGGGUAAUCGGCCACAUUGGGACUGAGACACGGCCCAAACUCCUACGGGAGGCAGCAGUAGGGAAUCUUCCACAAUGGACGAAAGUCUGAUGGAGCAACGCCGCGUGAGUGAUGAAGGGUUUCGGCUCGUAAAACUCUGUUGUUGGAGAAGAACAGGUGUGAGAGUAACUGUUCACAUCUUGACGGUAUCCAACCAGAAAGCCACGGCUAACUACGUGCCAGCAGCCGCGGUAAUACGUAGGUGGCAAGCGUUGUCCGGAUUUAUUGGGCGUAAAGCGAGCGCAGGCGGUUUCUUAGGUCUGAUGUGAAAGCCUUCGGCUUAACCGGAGAAGUGCAUCGGAAACCAGGAGACUUGAGUGCAGAAGAGGACAGUGGAACUCCAUGUGUAGCGGUGAAAUGCGUAGAUAUAUGGAAGAACACCAGUGGCGAAGGCGGCUGUCUGGUCUGUAACUGACGCUGAGGCUCGAAAG
rnacentral:rRNA from 1 species